rnacentral:lncRNA from 1 species
UGAGAAGCAUCCGAAGCAAGGAGCAUCUCAGUAAUCAUAGCCUGGGCAUGGGGUGAUACAUUGAUCGAACUGGAUUAUGAAUAUGAUGAUAUCAAGAACUUCAAGUGAAUCACUGAAAUAGCAAUAUUAUCAAACUUAAAAGAUUUUAUGAGCUUGCAAGCUCAGUUACCCAUUGUCAAGAUUCUUUCUUGGUAUAGGCGAUGCGUUAAGUUUUUAAGACUAGGCGCCUAUUCUUAAUAGGAUGUAUGAAAAUGAAUUAUAUGUUAUCUCAACGAGACAAGAACCUUAGAUCAUACUUCUGAUUAUUUUGCUCGUGAAGAAUAAUUCCAUCAAGACUUGCAUCAUCUUGAUGUUUCCUUUUUAUAUGCACUUAUUUAUUUAUUUCCAUCUUCCCCUAUUACCUCGAUUUUAAUCGGUCAUUUCGUACAUUCUUAUAUAUAUUGUGAGUACCAUUGGGAACAGUUGCUGCUAAGCCUUGAGUACCAUUAGGCAUGGGGUAGAAAUAAACAUGAAUAAAUCAAUUGAUCUACGUAAUUGCAAAGAAUAAUCAUUUCAAGUUUCAAGUUCAAAGUCCAAGGAAAUAUCUUUCUUUUGAAUCUGUUCAAACUUCAAACCAACCAAAGAUGGUGAGAGUCACAAAGGAAGAAAAAAAGCAAUGGAGACCCCGAUUUAAAUAUAUGUUAAUUGAGACUACGGGGAAUAGAGGUUUGUCUGUUGCAUGAAUUAAGAUGCAGAAAAUAUUAAACACGCUUUCGGAAAAUUCUCAAUAUAGGUCUCAGGAAUUUGGUCCAGCGAUUACGUUAAAGGCACAAAAUAACGAAUCAAAGCUGAUAAAAGUAAAAAUCAAAGUAAACCCACCCAUCUCACACUUCAUUUAUUAUAUAUAUGUUGCUCACAGCAUUUAUUGUCCUCCCAUACUCAAUUGUGUCGUAAAACAUUUUCCCAAUUCCAUUUCAAUACUACUAGUACGAAACUUUAACUUGUUUCUAGCCAACGCUCUUUUCAUUUCUCAUCAAUUUUUGACACACGACUUUGCAGAAAUGGUGACUGCCCAGGCUCAGUUUCUGUACUCACCGAACAAUUGCAAAAUUCUACACAUGGUGAGGCACGGUCAAGGGGUUCACAAUGUAGAAGCAGAGAAGAAUAUUGAUGCAUUAUUGUCUCCAGAGUUGUUUGAUUCACCAAUCUCAGCAUUGGGUUGGCAGCAGGUUGCUGAUCUCCGCAACUACGUUCAUGCAACCGGACUCUUAAAGCGGAUUGACUUGGUCGUCACUUCCCCUCUGUUAAGGUCGAUUCAUUACCAUCACGUACAUCGCCCCAAUUUCAUUUUUAACUACUUGCGUCUUCCAAGUGUUUGAACUCCCGCGUGGUCAGCUAAGUAAUUAAUGCUGCUUCAAAACCACGCAGGCGAAAUAUAAUGGCUUAACUAACAAUUGUAUGUUUGGAAUUUGGCAGGACCAUGCAAACAGCAGUUGGAGUGUUUGGUAGCGAAGGAGCAGAUGCAGGAUGGAAGUCAAAUUGCCCACCCAUUGUAGCUCACGAGCUUUGUCGAGAUCGUUUGGUAUUAAUUGUUUACUUGCAUUAUAAUUAAUUAAGAAAAGGCUAACAUAUAUAUAUAUAUAUAUAUAUCAUGUAUAUUAAUAAUCAUGUAACUAACUCCAUUUAAUCAACACACACACCAAUUUUGUUCUGAUUUUAAUUAAUUAAUUGAUUAAUUUUGUUCAUCAGGGCCUUCGUCCAUGUGAUCAGAGGAGAAGCGUGAGUGAGUGUCGAUCUCUUUUCCCAGAAAUCGACUUUUCACUGGCAAGUAUAUUAUGCUUUACCGAUAAAUUAAUUAAUUAAUGUUGUUGUGUUUUGAAUACCAUCCACGUUAAUUAAUUAAUUAUAAAACCAUCAAUUAAUCCGUAACUUUUAUUUACUUAUUUAUUUAUUAAUGCAGAUGGAGAGUGAAGAAGAUGAUAUGUGGUAUCCUGAAGCCAGAGAGCCUUAUGAAGAUAUCGAAGCCAGGGGAAUUGAGUUUCUCAAAUGGUGAUUGAAUUUGAACAUCAUCACAUGCAUAUACAUAUAUGCAUUAAUUUUUUUUUUUUUUUCUAUCAAUUAAUUAAUUAAUAUUAAGAAUGAAAUUAGUUAACAAAUUUAAGCUGGGCCGGUUAUUAAUUAAUUUACAUGUACAGGCUGUGGACACGGCCGGAAAAGGAGAUAGCAAUUGUGAGCCAUGGGGUAGUGUUGCAACAUUUUCUCUAUGUUUUAGAAAAUGACAGUGCUGACCCGUCCGUGAAAACUGGUUUGUGCAGACGGUGAGAACAACUACUAGUACCAGCACUUAUUCAUAUUGGCUUCCUCUGCUUUAGCCUUUUGGCUUGACUUUUAUAUCUUUGACCAAAUCCAAAAAUCACGUGUAUUUUUUUAUCUAGCUAAGCUACUUUCCACAUUGGUGGCUGACUGCAUAUGCUUAAUUAAUGUUGUUAAUUAAUUAAUUCUGUAGGAAUGAAUAAUCUUUUUUUUUUUAUGUGCAUGCACUCAGCUUUAACAAUUGUGAGCUUCGUUCUGUUGUCGUCGUCAACAAAGGGUACGUCAGCUUCUCAUUUGCAACAAAUAUGAAUCAAUGCUCUGAAAUCUAUCCGUCUAAUUAUUCCCAAAAGGCUCACCCUUUACUUAAUUAAAUUUGCAGGAUGAUGGACUCAGAUUAUAUUCCCUCGGCAACUAAUUAAGUAAUAAUCUACUUUGCAUCAACUCCUUCUUGCGGUUAAGUGGUCCGCCAGCUUCCCAACUCAACGAUGACGUGACUAUAAAUUGUUUCAUUUAUUCAUUUUUUUUUUCUUUUUUCCAUUGGGAUUCUCUCUCACUCUCCGUCCAACCCAAGGAUCGAUGAUAUGACGACUAGAUAUAAAUUGCUUCAUUUAUUCAUUAGUUUUAUUAUUUUCCAUAAGGAUUUUGUAUCCAAUUGAAUACUUUAUUUGUUGUUAAUAAGAUGCUGUCAUACCCUUUACAUAAUGAAUCCCGUCAAAAUUUUAUAAGCACUUGCUAGCUUCGUCUUUCUUUUUCUCAAAGCGUUUAUAUAUAUUCCUUUACAUCUCUCCAUAAACUUAGGGAUCUAGAAUUGAUAUUAAAUUUGUUGUGAGGGAGCUUUAAUUCUCAACAAGGGGAAAAAAAGACGAAGUUUUUGCUCAAAUAUUGAUUACUUGGUCAUGCCACAUAAUAUAUAUUGUUGAUGCAAAUUUGUGCUCAAUGUACAUUGAUUGAUUUGUGUUUCGGACUUUCUUCUAAAUAAAGCUCUGUGGUUUUUUUUUUUUUUUUGAGGCGAGUAUUUCAAAUCACAUGUCUCCUUGUGGUUAAUUGUUCUGCAAAAAGAAACAAUUAUCAAAGUGUGCUGGGAUUGCCAACGAUAACCCUUCGACUUUCAAGUUAGCCUUUUAAAUUUGAUUGUAGAGAGAGAAUGACAACAUUUCUUUACCUUUUUUCUCUUACCUUCAAAUGGGGAGUCUUGAUAUUUAUAUAGGCAAUUUGAUCCAUGAGAUGGAGGUGUCAUCAUGACACAUGGCAUUGUCUUAGUGACAAGUGUCUACAAAACUCAUGCAUAAAGACACCUGCCAUAAUGUGUCAAGCUUGUUUAUGACAAGUAAUCUUUGGACAUUUGUCAUGUUUUUGGGCUGUUAAACUUUAAUGAACUUUAACUUAAAUUCGGCACUUAUAUUGAUUCCUUACAAAGAGGAUUGAUUUUGCAACAUUUUGCCCGUAGGCGCAUUCUGUAGAAUGUGUAUAAGCCCGGAGGCGCAUUCCGUAGAAUGUGUAUUUGCCCGUAGGCCCAUUCCUUAGAAUGUGUAUUUGCCCGUAGGCCCUUUACUUAGAAUGUGUAUUUGCCCGUAGACCCAUUCCGUAGUAUUUACCCGUAGGCCCAUUUCGUAGAAUGUGUAUUUACUGAGAAAUAAUAUUUUCGAAGUGUCUAGGCCAUGAAUGGACCUAGGUCAUUCUUUGUGAGGAAUGAACCUAGGUCGUUCUUUGUAAAAAAUGGACCUAGGUCGUUCGGACCUAGGUCAUUCUUUAUAAACAGUGGACCGUUCUUUAUAAAGAAUAGACCUAGGUUCUUCUUUGUUGAAUCGUGUCUUUAGCAUUUUGUCGAAAACUCGCAUUUUGGGCGUUUUACUUAGAAAUAUUUUCUAAGUUCCUAAAGAAUGACCUAGGUCAUUCUUCGUAAGGAAUGAACUUAGGUCAUUCUUCGUAAGUAAUGAACUUAUGUCAUUCUUCGUAAGGAAUGAACUUAGGUCAUUCUUCAAGAUUUAGGUCUUUAUUUGAUGAAUCACGCUUUUGACUUUUUGUUGUAUCUCGCAUGUAGACACUUUAGUUAGAAUUGUAAGUAUUUUGGUCAUUCUUAUAGAGAACAGGCCUGGGUUAUUUUUGUUAAAAUAAUUUUAUUGGGCCUAUAUUUUUCGUGGUUUUUGAGCUUUUUAUAAUUUGGUCCAACAUAUCUCAGUAGAAAUUUAUCAUUUAAUGGAUAUAUGACAUAUCAUUUAUCUUUAGGAGCGAAGCAAUAAUUUUUUUCAAUUAGGUUAGGUUGAAAUUAAUUUUAUUCAAGGUACUAAUAAUUUAUAAAUAAAUUUUACAAUUUUCAUUAAGGUUUGAUGUAGUUCGCAUUUAGUUAAACAUUUUAUUGAGAGAAUUAUGAAAGAAAGAAUAGCAAAAAACUCUCAUGAAUAGCAUUACAUUAAAUCAUAAUAUUAGAUUGAAAAUUCAACUUGUGAUAAUUAUAUUAUAAAUAAAAAUAUUUAAUGUAGAGAAGAAAAAAAUUCAAGCAUAUACUGCGUGUUAAUUAAUUUUCUCCUCAUUAAAGUUAGAAUGUAAAUAUAUCUACUUAGGAGAACAUAAUUAUAAUUUAGACAAAAAUUAGGACGAGCUACAAUCCGGCCCAAUCAACAAAUAGCUUUGCCGCAGGGCCGCACGUUAUGAUGAAAUCUUUUGGAAAAUUAGUAAACACUUACUUUUUUUUUUUUACACCGAUAUUAUAAUCAGACUAUAACUUAUAUUGUAUGAGACUAUUACAGAUAUUUAAAAAUCAAACUAUUACCGAAACAAGUUUAUAUUAAAUUUUAUGAAGCACUGCUCAAUUUUUUUUUUUUACCUUUCUAAUAUUCGAGGAUAUCUACUUAACGCAUAUUCAGACUAUUAUUGAGAUAAGUCUACAUUAAGUCCUAUGAAGCACUGCCAAGAUUUUUAUCAUUUCUAAUAUUUGAGAAGCGUCUACUCUACUCAUAUUUAGUAAGAGCAAAAACUGUAUUCACUCAAUUAUUUAAUGAUUGAGGAAAAACUGUAAUUCACAUAAUGCUUUUAUGGAGGGGUCGAACUGUGAGAACAGUUACUCUAGCUAUUUGGCAUUGGCUUGCAAACACUUACCUACUAACAUUAAAUAAUUAUUUGUUUUUAAAUGACUGUGUGUAUGUGUGUGCGUGCAUGCGUGUGUGCGUGUGUGCGUGUGUGUGUGUGUGUGUGUGUGUGUGUGUGUGUGUGUUUAGUUUUAAAUUAGAUAAUUACUAAUUUAUAUAAUAAGUGGGUCUUUUAAAAAAUAAUGAAUUUUUUAAAAUAAAUUAUUAUCUUAUAAAUUUAUCGAAUUAUUAAUUUAUCAUGUUGGCCUUAAGUCACGACUAAUAAAAAUUAUUAUUUGAUCGAGAUAAUUAUUUUAUCGUAUAUUAAUUUAUACGGUAGAACUUUAAUAAAUUAAUAUUUAAUAAAUUAUGAUAAAGACUUAAAAGCAAGUAACCUUGGUAUCAGACAAUUGGAAGACUUAAAACCAAGUAACGGAAAGAAAUUGGUGCAGUGUCAAUUCCAAUUCCCAUUUUAAGACGUGGAAAUUAAUAGGAUCAUGCGAUUAGCACAAAAAAAAGUCCAGCAAAAGCUCUUUCCACGCAAUUACAGGAAUUUGGGUUGGAAAUUUAAUAUGUGUUUACAAUUCCAUGCUUACGAAUGAUGCAUGAACGUUACAGCUGGCGGCUGGAUUUUGAUUCUUCUGUUGAGUACUGUUUACAAGACUCAUUCCAAUUAGGAAAUUAAUUCACAAGUCAAGCUGCGGAAGCCAAGCAGUUGCAAUAGAUAUGAUGAACAGAAUGUUGAUGAAUCCAUUAAUUAAUUAUUUAUAUUUUAUUCAAUGUAUAUUUUUAUUUGCUAAGAAAAUCCCUCCCUGCCAAAUCCAGUUGCAUUGGCGUUAAAUUGACUAACUGCUAACUAAAAUAAUACAAUAAUAGCACACUGACGAAUUAAUAAUUACAAAAUGCAAAGUUGGAAAUGAGUUGAAAAUUGGAAUAAUAAUAUUUGAAAGUUGGAAAUGAUAAAGACUUAAAAGCAAGCUAGCUAGCAGUGUCAUGCCAAUGUCGCAGAAGCAGACAGACGCUUUCAUAGCAGCUUCUCUAUGGAAGUACUUUUCGUCUAAUGCAUGGAAUUUUAUCAGAGUUUUUGUCUCUGACUAAAGCUCUAUAAUUCCAAAGAAAAGUCAACUGAUUUGCAAAUAUAAAAUCAAACUAUAUGUAUAUAUAGAUAUACAUCACAUGCCACACAACACCACCGCCAUUCACAUCGAUCCUUACCAGCUUGCCUUUCCAUCUGACAUAUAUAUAUGUAUAUUUAUAUUUAUAUACCCAAUAAUACUAAUAAUAAUUUUCCAAAUCUUGUCCCAGCUCCCUGUCCCGCUCAUUUCGUCUGUAUUAUUAUUAUUAUUAAUUUUCCAAAUCCAAUAUCAGGGAAAAAAAAAAUGGAUGCUUUUGCUGCUUUGUUUCGAGGCAAGACUUUCGUUGUUUCUCCUCUCUCUGGUAUGUUAGUCAUCUCCUAUUUCUUCUGUGGCCAAGUUGGGAACGGUGUAAUUGUUACGUUGCUUCUUGUGAUUAGCUGUCUGUUGCAUGUUACUUUUGGAAACGUAAAAAGUAAAUGCUUCGUAAGAAAUCUCUGGUGAUAUGAUCUUUUAUACAAUCAAAUAAAUACAACAAUGUAAUUAAUAGUUGAUAAAUAAGAAUAUAAUAAAUAAGUAAAUUUUAGAUAAAAUAUAUGCCGGUUAAGAGAUCAUUUAAAUCUACUAACUUUUCCACUUUGAAGGUAUGCAUAUUAAAAUCCACAACUUUUAUACAUGAUAAAUUCUUUUUGGACGAAUUUACAAGUUACAACAGCAUUGGUGGAUCACCCUAUAUAUUAUUUAUGGGAACCUGUAAAACACAAAUAUCAGAAGCACAUAUAUGCUGAAUCAUUGAGAAGGAUAUAUGCUGUAAAUUACCUCUAGCUAGUAAUUCCAUUUUGUAUUUGCCUAAUUACUUAGUUGCAUGCGAUGCUCUUGUACUCUCCAUGCAUUUUUUUCUCAGUUGUAUCAUUUGCAGAUUUGGAUGCUGCUAUAGCCAAACAUCUAUAUUCAUUGCAACAUUGCAAAAUUCUUCACCUGGUUUGCAACACUUUGACCUUUAAUUUUGAUAUUUAAUUAAUUGAUUUCACCUAGGCUACUUUACUUAGAUAGUAACUAAUUUCAGGUAAGGCAUGGACAAGGGGUCCACAAUAUGGAAGGAAAUAAUGGCCCAGAAGCCUUAUUAUCUCAAGAAUUUUUUGAUGCACAGCUUUCACCUCUAGGGUGGCAGCAGGUGGAUAAUUUGCGGAAACGAGCUGAAGCAAGUGGACUUGCCCGAAAGAUUGAUUUAGUCAUCACAUCCCCAUUGUUAAGGUUAUUAUUGAUUUAAGUUAUAUUAUGACUUGAAACAAAAGAUCAGCAGUCAGCAGCUAGCACUGGAUUGUGUCUUGUGGGUAGCUAGCUUACAUAUGGUUUGUUAAUAAUGGGGGUUGCAGAACUUUGCAAACAGCGGUUGGAGUUUUCGGUGGGGAUGGUCAAAGCCAGACGGAUGGGAUCGAUGCGCAUCCAUCUCUGACGGCAACAGCAACUGUUAACUGCCCACCGAUUGUAGCGGUUGAGCUUUGCCGAGAACGUUUGGUACGUACGUUAGCUUUAAAUUGGUAUGUGCACAAGAAUCAACUUCCAUCACACAUGUAUAAUUCUGCUCACAGCCGCGUCAUCUGCUGCAUGCAGGGAGUUCAUCCAUGUGACAAGAGAAGAAGCAUCAGUGAGUAUCGGUCUCUUUUCCCAGCAAUCGACUUUAAAUUGGCAAGUACCUGAGCCGUUAUCAUCCAAUUCUCCAAUCCAUAGAAUUGAGUUAAGAAGAAUCUCUUAGUUGGUAUCACAAGUUUGUUCCUUACAAGUAAAUUUUGUUUUGUAUUGUUUUGCUCAGAUAGAAAGUGAAGAUGACAAGUUGUGGAAAGCUAACACAAGAGAGCCCUUCGAAGAGGUUGCAGCAAGGGGAAUAGAGUUCAUGAAAUGGUGGCUUACUUUUUUUUAAUGUUUUUUAUUUAUUUAUUUUUAUUUUUAAGUAACAUGAUCAAGGGCGCCAUGAAACUAAUAGCUCUCCUAUCAUACGUAUAGGUUGUGGACUCGACAAGAGAAGGAGAUUGCAGUUGUCAGCCAUGGGAUAUUCUUGCAGCAAACUCUGAAUGCACUUCUAAACGAUUGUCAAGCAUCCUUCAACCAAGAACUAUGCCCACGGUCGGUCAGCUGUAACUAUAUUUUCGAUAAUUUUUUUUUCUUUUUUUUGCUCCUAUUGCAACUUCAAUAAAAAGACAAUUAUUUUUUUAACCCUCAACUGUUGUUUGUAUAAUAUGUGCUUUAGGUUUACAAAUUGUGAAAUACGGUCGGUGGUCAUCGUCGACAGGAGGUGAACAUUAGAUUCACACGACACAUUCAUUCUAACAUGACGCAUGCAUUCUAUUCUUACUAUAAACUAUGCUCAACAUUUUAAUUUUAAUUUUAAUUUUUUAUUUUUUUCCUAAAUCUACAGCAUAACGGGUUCAUGUUAUCCUGAAACUAUAUCCGGCGAGCUUCGUCUUCAUGGGGAUGCGAAAAUUCCGAGUGAAGAAGUAUCCAAUUAAUUGGCUACUAAUAUCCAUUUGAAACCAUAAUGUUUUUAACUACGUACGACUCCACGAGCUACUAAUAUCCAUCAAUAUGCGCGUGCAGCUUCCCACAAAAAGACAAGACUACUCCUAAUCAAGAAUUCUACAAUAUUUUUAACUCUUCAAAUGACUAAAUGAGGGGCUUUUUGUUAGUGUUGCAAAUAAUAAAAUAUACCUACCUUACUGUACAUUGUGUUCUUCCACCCUAAUUCAACAAAAUUUCUAAGACAAAAAACAAUUAAAUGUUCUGAUUUUUUUUUGUACUUAAAAAAAAAAUGAACCAUUUGAUUAAUGAAAAAGAUUUUGCUUAGUGAGCUAGUGUUUCUUAGCAAUAAGCACAAAUACUACCAGAAUAGAAAGCAGCAGAAAAAAACAGCUGCCAUGAUGUUGAAAUUAGCAGCCUUUACGGGUCUUUUCCUUUCUUCUUUCAAUUCCCUUCCUCUCUUGCGAAGAGCUAGAUCUCAAAUUGAAAAGGACUACUACAUCCCAAAAAGUUUUGCUAAUUAUCGAGGGUGCUUUUAUUUCAGUGUCCAAGUUUAAUGAGGAAUCAUUAAGAGCUUCCAUGGACAUUAACUCAACACAAUGUUCUCUAAGAGCCUAACGUAGCAUGAAAAACACAAAUCGAAACAAGCACUUGAAGCAAUGAAUAAGAAUAAGUCUUUAUUAUUUUAAUUAUUUUAAAAUUUAAAAAAGAUUUGGAUGAGGAUGGGAAACCUCAACCCCCAAACACCAACUCUUGUCCUUUCAUCGUACCAGAAAUUAUUGAAGUUAGUUUUAGAAAGAAGAGAGAAAUAGAGUUCAUAUUAUUAUUUUAGAAAUACAAAGCUCAAGUGUUUCGGAUGGUUGAAGGUAGUCACAUAUAUAUGUAUCUGCCAACCAAGGCACAAAAACUCUUCAUGGAAAUGAAAGACGACAUGUUUUAUAAUAUUAACAAUAUAGUUAAUGAUAAAGUUGAUAAUCUCAAAAUAGUUGAAGGCUUCAACCAACAAAAAGAAUUACAUGAUUCAAAAUUUGCAAGCACACCUUCUGCAGAUGUAUCAUUUAAGAAUGGUAUAAGCAACUCAACUUCAUGCAAACCAUCUAUUGAGCAGGGCUCAUCAUUAACAACCUAAAAUUACAUAAAAUGUAAAGGAAACUCCUCAUUGUAAGUCAGUAUGGAAAGAAUGCAGUGUAAGACAAUUCUCAUUGAAAUUAUUGGGAAUUAUUAACUAAAUUGAAUACAAAUUGUAAAAAGGUCUCGCAAUAUGGAUGCAUUUUAUAAGCUUUAAUUUGAAUUCUUUGCGGGAUUAUAGAAAAUGAUUUCUAGUAGUUCCUAGAGUUAUUCUUCCAUAGUGAACAUGAAUUAGGCUCACCACAACAAAUUAGAAUGAAUAGUAGAAAGUAAAUUGUUUACAAAAUUUCCACUACAAUAGCUUUUGCACCUCCAAGCUCAUUAGCAUGAACUAAAAUUCUUUGGUGAAGAAUGUCACUAAAUGUUUGGACAUUUGAUGCACCCAUAAGCCUUAUCGGUAGUUUGCUAGAAUGUGGGAAACAUCAAAUUACUAUUAAUGCAAAGAUUAAUGAACUCUCAAAACUCAAUUGGUGCACCAAACAUGACUAUAUUUAUAGCAAUUAUGAUGAAAGCUCUCAAGCGCCAAUGCAAAUACAGUAAAACCUCUUUAUAGUUAUAAUGUUAGGACUAAACUAAUUUUAUUACUAUGCGAAAGUUACAACAAAAUAGAGAUAUAGUUAAAAAAAAUUAUUGUUUUGGACUUAGUUAUCCCUAAUAUAAUAGGAAUACAAUUUAUGAAAUGGUGACUUACCUUUUUAAUGUUUAUUUUUGUUUUUAUCUUUUUUAUUUUUAAGUAACAUGAUUAAGGGCGCCAUGAAACUAAUAACUCUCUUAUCAUACGUAUAGGUUGUGGACUCAACAAGAGAAUGAGAUUGCAAUUGUCAGCCAUGGCAUAUUCUUGCAGCAAACUCUGAAUGAACUUCUAAACGACUGUCAAACAUCCUUCAACUAAGAACUAUGCCCACAGUCGGUCAUCUAUAACUGCAUUUUCGAUAAACUUUUUUUUUUGUUUGCUCCUAUUGCAAAUUCAAUCAAAAUGAAUUUUUUUUAACUUCAAUUGUUGUCUGUAUAAUAUGUGCUUUAGGUGUACAAAUUGUGAAAUACGGUCGGUGGUCAUAAUUAACAGAAGGUGAGCAUUAGACCCACACGACAUAUUCAUUCUAAUAUGACGCAUGCAUUAUAUUCUUACUAUAAAUUAUGCUCAAUAUUUUUUAUUUUAUUUUAUUUUUUUCCUAAAUCUGCAGCAUAACCUGUUCAUGUUAUCUCGGAACUAUAUCAGGUGAGCUUCAUCUUCCUUGGGAUGCGGCAAAAGAGAAUAUUCCUAUCGAGUGAAGAAGUAUCCAAUUAAAAAUGUAAAAUGUAAAAUGCUCCAACUACUGUGAGACCCUAGCAUUCUACCAGUGUAAAAAAAAAUUGAAGAAGAAAUAUAUCCUCUAACUAUUUUUUGAGCUAUAGUCGUGUAUUUUUGUAAGUUACAUAACUUUUGUCAUGUAUGUAUGAAUUUACACCACUGCAAUCAUGUAAGUGUGAAAAAUAUAGUAGCUAUUAUAACACCUAGCAUUCUAUUAGUGUAAAGAAUAUAUUGUUUUUACUAAAUAUAUCAUUUGACUGUUUACUAGACUACAUUUGUGUGUUUUAGCAAGUUACACAACUGUUAUCGUGUAAACGAGCAAUUACACGACUGCAAUCGUGUACAUGGGCAGGCGGUUCCACACUUUGUUUUAUGCCUUGUUUGAUUUUGAUUUUGAUUUUAUAUUUGUUGUAUCAUUACACAAAAUGACUUCAAUACAUGCGCCUAUUAUGUUUUGUGGUGAAUGAAUUAAGUAAAAUGACUAUUAUAGAUUUAAUGGUAUAAAGGCAAUAAGGAUCAUGGUGCCUCAUUCUACAACAUAUGCACAAUUGAUAGAAAUAAUAUUUAGGUUUAUUUUCAUUGAUUUUUUUGAAUUUGACAUUGAAAUGAAGUUCAAGCUUAAAACAUUCGAUCUAAUGUCGUCCGUUCCAAUUUUGACUGAUGAUAAUGUAGAUUAUUUUCUAAAGGAAAUGAUUAGUAGAGCUGAGUUGAACAAUUCGCUUUGUAUUACCUACAAACGAAAAUAGAUUUUAAAGACACUUAUUCCUGAUGUUGACUUUAACUUUAAGCCAUAUAGUUGUCCACAAGAACCCGUUGAGUUAUAUGUUGGAGGUGAAAGUUUAAGUCGAAAUAAUUUUUUUGCUAAAGAUUAAUCAGAAUUCAAAUUUGUUCCUAAAACACAACCUAUUGAUAGAAGGGUGCUGAAUUUAGAAAAUGUGAAUGUUAUUGUUCUUGAUGAUUUUGAUGAGAUAAUAGUUAGUAAUCAACAGUCGAGAAUGUAGCACCUUGCAAUAUGAGUUUCUAUUCCUCUAAUAGUAUAUAUAUGCCUGUAGUCAAUUUGUUUGCAUGCAGUAAUUCAUUAAAUAACGAUAACUCGCAUUCGAAUAGUAAUAACUUGCCAUCCAUGAGUGUUGUUGGUAAUAGUGAUAUGUUAAUGGUGAAAAAGUUGUUCGAUUUGUAAGAGGAGUUACAAGAAGUUCUUUCUAUGGAAGCUUUAAGGAGAAAUUUUAAGCUUAAAACCUUUAAGGUAGGGAAGAACAUACUUCUUGUUAGAUGUAGUGACGAUAAUUGUAAGUGGUUACUCCGUGCUACCAAGCUUGAAAGUUUGAAUAUGUUUGAAAUUAGAAGGUAUUAUAGCGUUCAUACUUCUGCACUUGAUGUUCGUAAGAGAUAUCAUCGUCAUGCUUCAUUCAUACUUCAUCUUCAUAGAGGCCUAGUGAGAUUAGAUAAGAAUGUCAGAAACAGUUUGAGUAUAAAAUAAGUCAUUACAAAGUAUGGGAAGCAAAAGAAUAUGCAAUGGAGAAAGUUAGAGGCACGCUUGAGGAUUCAUUCAAAUUAUUAUCUUCCUAUAUGGUAAUGUUGAAGAAGAAAAUUUUAGAUACAUGUAUAUUUCUUAAAGUUAACAAUGUAAAUAACUUUAAAUAUUUUUUAUAGCAGUUGGAAGCUAUGUACAUGGAUUCAUUUCAUCAAUAAGGUCAGUCAUUACAAUUGAUGGUACAUUCUUAAAGGGAAAAUUAAAAAAAAAAAACUUUGUUCUUUGUGACAACACUUGAUGAUAACAAUCAAUUUUAUCAUGUUGCAUAUAAUAUCAGUGACAGUGUGAACGAUGCCUCAUAAGGGUGGUUUCUAAAAACUUUAAAGGAAGCAAUAUGUGAAAUUCUUAAUUUGGUUUUCAUUUCCGACCGACACCUAAGUAUGAAGAAAAAUAUUAACAUUGCAUUGCCAGAAGCUGUAUAUGAUAUUUGUACGCAUCAUUUGAAGCAAAAUUUAUGUGCUAAAUUUAAAGAAAUUGAGCUAAAUGCAAUUGUUAAACUAGUUGCAAAGGCCCAUCGAUCACAACAAUUUAACUAUUUUACGAAUGAGAUACAAAAGGUCAAUGAAAGAUUGCAAAAUAUCUUUAUGAUGUAAGAUAUGAGAAAUGAGCUUGUUCUCAUUUUGAUGGGUUGCAUUAUAGUAUUAUGACAACCAACAUAACAUAAUCCAUGAACUCUGUCCUUAAAAAUCCUCGAGAAUUGUCAAUUUAUAAGUUAUUGGAUUUGAUCAUUGAUAAACUACAAGAGUGAUUUUGUGAUAGGCGAAAAGAGACAAUUAAUUGUCACACUCGACUAACAAAAUAGACUGAAAAAGAAGUUGGUUAGAAAAUCAGAGGAUUCCUGUACAAAUAAAGUGGUGGCACUAAAUAUGUAUGAAUUUAUUAUUAAAUAUGAUGACCUUGAUAGUCAUGUCAACAUUCUUGACAAGAUAUAUAGUUGCCAGGAAUUUCAACUCCAUCAACUACCUUAUGAACAUGUAUUAGUUGUAUGUAGGUGUCAAUAAACAUUGCUUGCAUAUGAUAUGUGCUCAUAUUACUAUUCCAAUGAAGCUUGAGUUGCAAUAUAAGCAUAAAUAAUCUAUCUUGUUGGUGCGCAAGAAGAAUGGUAGGUUUCAUAUGAAGUGCGUAAUAAUAAGAUUUUACCCCUUAUGGAGAAGCAGAAAAUGGUCGUCCACAAGAAAUUAAAAUAGUAUUAUAAGGUGAGGAGAAGUUAUGUUGUAAGUGUGGUAGGUGCGAUUAUAUAAGACACUAAUUCCACUGUCUGACAAUAAACCUGUAAUUGGACUGAAUAAAACAAAAACAAGUAUGUGUAGUAGCAACUUUUGUUCACUUAAAACUUAUUUAUGAUUCUAACAUGUGUUGGACCUAUGUUGUUUGAUGUAGAAAAGCUUUCGUUAUUUGAUGUAUUGAAGUUUGAUGUGUUACAUUAAUUGUGUUGUUUAUCAAGUACGUUGAUUGUGUUAUCAUUUUGAUGAGUGCUUUAGGUAGUUUUUAUUCCUUAUCCACGUACUCGACUAAUGUUGUAUAUUUAUGAAGUUACUUGAUUGUUGUCGUGAAUCGACGAAGUUUACUCAACUAUAGUCAUUUAUUAAAAGAUGAAUCAUUGAUAUGUAACUGAUGGGUAAUGAUUUAUAAAUGUCAAAUGAUUAAGAAUAAUUGGUGUAUCUAUGAAGAUACUCGACUAUAGUCAGGUGUAUCUAGAAAGAUACUCGACUGUAGUUAUGUAUCUAUGAAGGUACUGGACUGUAAUCGUGAACUUAGGUUGAACAUUCCUUCAAUGUUUAUGAUUAUCCAGUUAUAUUACAUAUAUGAUGCAAAACUACCUUCUACCUUCUAUUCUUUCAAUAAUAAACUUAACAAAAAAUAAAGCUUAUAUAUGAUGCAAAACUAUCUUCAAUUACAUCAAAUGUCAAUUGCAUCUCUAUUGUAACAGUUACAUAUGACAAUAAUUUAUCCAAAAAAUGAAAAAAUCGUUGUAAUAAAGUUCUUUAGGGUAUGACACUAGGUCGUUGGUUUCACAACCUAUGUCCAAAUAAUUUGACAUGCAAUGCUUUUCGAUAACAUCACCGUGUUGGCAAUAUGUGUUGACAUCAAGGCCAUGGGCUAGAAUCUCCAAGUACCGUAACAAAAAUGCUCUACAGUCACCACUAAGAAAAUUCAUAUAUAUCAAUAAUAAAAUCACCAUUUUAAUUAAAAAAAACCAAUAAAUAAUGUGCUCAAUUGUAUACCCUGAUUUUUGUUGCGGGAUAUUUCGUACUCGCAAGAUGGGCCAAUGGACUUUUGAUAUGACAUCAGCACAAUCUGGAUGUGUUUUGUGAUAUGAUAUCUUUUGAAAUAGCAGAGGUAUCGUGUUUACAACAUGUAGCAAUUGUUUGACCAAACUUUAAUCUUUUGUAGUCUAUUAUAGAGUCAUAAACAUUAAUCUUACCCGCAGAUAUAUCGACCACCCUAAAAUCCAAUGCUUAUUCAUAAGUAUCGACAAAUAUACCUGCAUAGUUUGGGCAAUAUUUGAGGAACGAAAUGCCACAUAAUAUAAAAAAGAAUGUCAAACUCACUGUCGAAACACUUUUCUAAAAAGUGACGUAGUCUAAUUUUGCACCAUUAGUGUAAUCAAUGGAAUAACUCCCCUUUUCUGACACCUUAUCUGGGUUUUCCAUGUACAAUAUAUCAUCUCUUAUUAUUUUUAGAGGUUAAGGAAAAUGUAUGCAAAAUUAAUCAUACCAGAAAAUUGUUGUCCAUAAUGGCAUAAAAUUGUAUGUUUGGAGUCGUAGCGCAGGACAUAUCUUUUCUUAAGUAGUACCAUGCAAUGUCGAUAUGCUGAAUAUAAAAUGUGAAUUUUUAUUUAGAAAAUAGCAAAUAUUUAUAAAAAAAUGAUAAAAACAAAUUGUGCUAAAUAACUUAUAAAAUUAGAUAACCAUGUGUCUGGUGUAUAUAAUUUAUGAAAACAUUCUCUAUCAAUAUCCAUAAUAGUCAAAUUGAUAACUUUCAUGUAUAGAUAAAUGACAAUGACUAAAGGUGUUAAAUAAAUAUACAUUAUAAUAAUAAUAAAAUAAAAAGUUAAUAUCAUAAUAUGAGAUAACUUACGACUCUUUUUUUAUUAUUGGUGAAAUCCAUUCAUCGCUGCAGCUCCAGUAAUUCCUCUCAGGGUAUAAGGGGAUGCACUUGAAAGUCUAUUGUCUUUUGAGGGUGCACCUCAACAUCUGUUGUCUCUUGCGACUUUUUUAAGGGAAUGGUGUACAAUGUACGUAAGUAAGUCAAAGUUUUUGUUUCUCUUCUCUUCCGUAAAUUAUAUACUAAUCUACAAUCUUUUUCUUGCGUUUAGAUGACAAUUAGAUCCCUUCUGUACCAUGACAAUUAUCUAGCAUUUUUAAUAGGAGUGUAUCAUUUGUUGUACUACAAAUAUUAAUGAGCAUGUCCAAUGGUUGUUAUAUUAGUGAGACAAAUGUGACGUCCAUACAAAUGUGACGUCCAUAGGAUCAUUUAUAGGCCACAGACACAACAACUAAAUUGUUUGAGAAUUUAACAAACACACAUACUCAAUGAACAAAUAUUGACAGUUUUAUAUAUCAAACCACAUUACCAUAAGUAAAUUGUCUGCUUAAUAAAUUUAUUACAUUAAAUAGAAAGAUUACGGUAAAGAUGAAUGGGCUCCCUUGAAAUCACUCUAUUUCAACAAACAUGCAAGUCAAAAUUUAGAACUAUCAAAUUUCAUAUACGCAGCUAGUGAGCUAGCACACCAAAAUAUACGUUCUAGCUAGUCUAAGGGAAUACAACAGAAAAAUUUACAAUUUGAUUUUUGUAAGUUUGUGGUCGUAAAAAAGAGAUAAAGUUCGCUGAGUUAUUAACUAGACCCAUUCAUCCAAUUAGUCAUGUACACAAAUGUUAUGGCAUGUAAAUGCAAAGCUCUAUUUAAGAUUGCUUGAAACAAAAAUCAAGAAAAAUAAUGUCAAAUGGCAGACGGAAAAUUCUUAAAUUCUUUUUGUUAGAACGAAUAUUGGCAGAUAUGGUUUCGUAAAUUUCAAAGCCUAAUACUAUCAGUAAAACAAGCUAAAUUGCCAAGACACCCAAUAGUCCUUGUAAUUAAAGAGAUUAAAGAACAAUUACUGUUACUUAAUCACAUUGCAAAUUAAACAUGUAUUCUUAAUAUCAAAACAAAAUGCAAAAGGAAAAUAGCUGACCAAAGGUCCCAUAUGAUUAAUAGAAAACUACUGACUGCAUACCCAAUCAAAGGACCAGCAGUGGAGCAAAACCCACAAAGACUCUGAAGUAAAACCGUGAAGUAGUAGUAGGAAAAGCGUUGUCAGAGUUGGCCUUACCUAAUAGCCCACUAGAACGACACUUUAUUAUUUGUUUUCUGUUUCGACCAGUAAUCUUCAAGUAGGUUGGAAUUAGGGGAAAUUUUGGUACGGUGUACGGUGGUCGUGAGUGAUAAAUUGUGCGUUGUGUAUGCAGGUUGUGAAUGAUUUUAAAGAAUUAGGUUUUGAGUUAGGGUAAUUCGGUAAUUGCAUAUAUGAGGAAUUUUGAAGUAUGAGAGUGUAUUUAGAUAAAUAUCCUACUUUUAGGGUAUGUCACAAACAAAUACCUAACAUAUAUACCUACACAAGUAAGCUCACUCAUCCACCCUACUGUGCACAUACUAAUCACUAACUUUUAUUAAGAUAGCACAAUAGUACUGCAGGAUUAGGUACCUCCUAGGAUUAUAGCAAAUGUGUAUAGGCAGCCUUCAUCUGAAACAAUCUCCAAAAUAGGCGCAGCUUUGGCAACUACAUUUACUGUCCACAAAGUAGCAUUAAAAUGUUAAAUCACUAGAAAAUAAAGCAUAAUGAUAAAUAAAUAAUAAAAAAAAAAAACAUAUGUUACCAAGCAUUUUUUUUAAAUAACAAAGACUUUCGCUAAAAUUUACGGUAUUAGCCUCCUUAAGUUUAUGCUAUAUAUGUUGUUGCCUCUUAAUUUUGUUAUUGCUCAAUUAUGACCCCACUAGGCACUGGCAUUGCAUCAUUUGCAUUAGCUCAAAAUUCUCUAGAAAAAGUAAUGUACCUGGCAAAGCUCCUUUUUGAAACUGUAAAUGCUCCUCUUGAUUGUUGAGGAUAUUGCAUAGUUAGUAUAUUUCCCUCCAGUCUUGUUUUCUUGUUGAAUAAAAUGCAUACGGACAUCUAAUGCACACAUUGGUAAGCAACUAUUGCAGAUUUUAUAUCAAAUCAAUUCCUUACAAUUUCCUUGCCUCUUCUCAUUUCAAUUGUUCCGGGUUGUGGACGCGGAAAGAGAAGGAGAUUGCAGUUGCUACUCAUAGUGGAUUUUUAUAUCAUACCCUGAAGUGCUUUUGGAAAUGAUUGCCAUCCAUCUAUAAAGAGUGAAAUACUCACACAGUAAGUGUUACCCUCAUUUGUUCAUCUGCAAUUGUCUGUAAACAGCUUGAAACGUGGGUUACCAUAUAUAUAUAUAUAUAUAUAUAUUGUUUUGAAGGAAUUUAAUAAACCUAAGUGUUGAACUUCGUGCUUGAUGUGCUAUUUUAAGCCAUUUGGUUGGUGCCUGACUCUCCUCCAUUCUGCUGAUUCCUCAUUUACUUUUCUAAGCCAUCUGCUAAUAAUUUCUCGCUGCAAGAUAUCGUUUUGAAACUGCUGGUUCAUUUCGUAAGACUGGUAGCUGGAUAUGACUUUCUUUGCUUUUCGUUAUGUGCCUGUUUUCUGUUGAGCUCAAAGUUUUUCAUUCAUAGUUUUGUAAAAUUUGUAUGGUAAAUAAUGGUAGCUUUGAAUUAACCAGAUGGCCAGUUUCUGUUUUUACGUAUUCUUCUGCGGUACGGUUUUUAUCUUAAAUUAGUCAUCUGGGGUAGUAAAAUUAGAUGGCUCUGUUCCAGGCGUGGGUUCUAGUCUCCCGAGGAGAUUGAAUAACCUCUUCAAUGUUCUUCCUUGUAGCAAUUACCAGCUGAAAAAUUGAUAGUAGGGGAAAUUUAAAUUUGCGGCAAAGAUUAAACAUAUCUCACUGGUUUUAUACACAAAUAUAUGUUGAUUUGGCUCAACUACUUGCUAGUAUGCUUUCUGCUAUCUGUCUGCAGCUUUGCUAAUUGCGAACUUCGCUCAAUGGUUAUUGUUGAUAGAAGGUGAGCAGGUUAAGUAUAUAAUUUCGUGAGAACUUGCUGUCCAGCCUAUGCACAACUCAUGUUUUCCAACUGUUGUUGCAAAAUAAUAAACUUAUCUUUUUUGUUGCAGCAUGAUUGGCUCAGAUGCGCCAACAACAAACCACCCAGGAAAGAUUCCUAGCGGUGUUGAUCUUCCUAGUGAUGUUGCUGCUGAGAAGCAUCCGAAGCAAGGAGCAUCUCAGUAAUCAUAGCCUGGGCCUGGGGUGAUACAUUGAUCGAACUGGAUUAUGAAUAUGAUGAUAUCAAGAUUUUCAUGUGAAUCACUGAAAUAGCUAUAUCAUCCAACUAAAAAGAUUUUAUGACUGUCAAGAUUCUUUCUUGGUAUAGGCGAUGCGUUAAGUUUUUAAGACUAGGCGCCUAUUCUUAAUAGGAUGUAUGGAAAUGAAUUAUAUGUUAACUCAAAGAGACAAGAACCCUAGAUCAUUCUUAUGAUUAUUUUGCUCGUGAAGAAUAAUUUCAUCAAGAUUUGCAUCAUCUUGAUGUUUCCUUUUUAUUUGCACUUAUUUAUUUAUUUCCAUCUUUCCCUAUUACCUCGAUUUUAA